UCUCGCGAGAGAUGAGCGCGCCUGGCCGGACGAGAGGAAAGUAUCAGCUCCGCUGAGGGGGGGGAAGAAGGAGCUGGAGACAGAUUGUGGGACCGAGCGCGGGCGGGCGGGAGGCGACGGAGCUGCCAGCGGCUCCGCUCUGCUACAUGAAAUAUGGGAGACGACAGACCGUUUGUGUGCAAUGCCCCGGGCUGUGGACAGAGAUUUACAAACGAGGACCACCUGGCAGUUCAUAAACACAAGCAUGAGAUGACAUUGAAAUUUGGCCCAGCCCGAACUGACUCAGUCAUCAUUGCAGAUCAAACUCCUACUCCAACUAGAUUCCUGAAGAACUGUGAGGAGGUGGGGCUCUUCAAUGAACUAGCUAGCUCCUUUGAACAUGAAUUCAAGAAAGCUGCAGAUGAGGAUGAGAAAAAGCAGGCGGCUGCAGGGCCCCUUGACAUGUCUCUGCCUUCCACACCAGACAUUAAAGUCAAAGAAGAGGGGCCAGUGGAGGUAGACUCAUCCCCACCUGACAGCCCUGCCUCCAGCCCCUGCUCCCCGGUGCUCAAGGACAAGGAAAUUGCCCCCAAGCCUAUUGUGAUAUCUACCCCAACGCCUACCAUUGUACGCCCUGGCUCCCUGCCUCUCCACUUGGGCUAUGAUCCACUUCACCCAACCCUUCCCUCCCCAACCUCUGUCAUCACACAGGCUCCACCAUCCAACAGGCAACUGGGGUCUCCCACUGGCUCCCUUCCUCUCGUCAUGCAUCUUGCUAAUGGGCAGGCCAUGCCUGUGCUGCCAGGGCCUCCAGUACAGAUGCCUUCUGUUAUAUCGCUGGCCAGACCUGUGUCUAUGGUGCCCAACAUUCCUGGUAUCCCUGGCCCACCAGUUAACAGCAGUGGCUCCAUUUCUCCCUCUGGCCACCCUAUGCCAUCAGAAGCCAAGAUGAGACUAAAAGCCACCCUAACCAACCAAGUCUCCUCAAUCAAUGGUGGUUGUGGAAUGGUGGUGGGUACUGCCAGCACCAUGGUGACAGCCCGUCCUGAGCAGAGCCAGAUCCUCAUCCAGCACCCUGAUGCCCCAUCCCCUGCCCAGCCACAGGUCUCACCAGCCCAGCCCACUCCUAGUACAGGAGGGCGCCGGCGGCGCACAGUGGAUGAAGAUCCGGAUGAGCGGCGGCAGCGCUUUCUGGAGCGCAACCGGGCUGCUGCCUCUCGCUGCCGUCAGAAGCGGAAGCUAUGGGUGUCCUCCCUAGAGAAGAAGGCAGAGGAACUCACUUCUCAGAACAUUCAGCUGAGUAAUGAAGUCACAUUACUACGCAAUGAGGUGGCUCAGUUGAAACAGCUGCUGUUAGCUCAUAAAGACUGUCCAGUCACUGCACUACAGAAAAAGACCCAAGGCUACUUAGAAAGCCCCAAGGAAAGCUCGGAGCCGACGGGUUCUCCAGCCCCUGUGAUUCAGCACAGCUCAGCAACAGCACCCAGCAAUGGCCUCAGUGUUCGCUCUGCAGCUGAAGCGGUGGCCACCUCAGUCCUCACUCAGAUGGCCAGCCAAAGGACAGAACUGAGCAUGCCGAUACAGUCGCAUGUGAUUAUGACUCCACAGUCCCAGUCUGCGGGCAGAUGAUGCCUCCCCUGGUGGAGAGGUCCCCAGCCAGAGCUCGCCCGUUCAAGAGCCAAGAAAGAUGUCAUCUUAUCCCCUCCCAUCUGUCCUGGACAUGGCAGUAUGGGGGGGAACUGUGUGUUAGCCGGUGCUGAACAAGCCACACCUGGUGAAGAGAAAGGAGAGAAACGUGGUUUUCUCAUCCUCUACCACCCGGGACCCAGCAGGAACAGCCCCUGAGGUGACUCAGAUUAGCAAAUGGCAUGGCAGAUGGUCAGGAUGCAGGUUUCCGCCUCGGCCUCCGGGGACUCCACUCGCCUGUAAAAUUCACAGCCAUAACUCGUGCUCAGGGCUCUCAGACGCUGCUCCCCGACUCUUCUGCUUUAGUUUGUUUCAGUUUUUUAUUCUAUUGAUUUCCCACCAGCAGCCUUGCCCUUAAGCUUGACUGAGUUUAUGGCUCCUAAGGAGCCUUUGUAAGACCUUUCACUAUUUUCUUCCCCCUUCAGUCAAGUGUGUUUCAAGUGAAGAAUCUCACACAGGCCCUGCCUCGCUGCUGGGCGCUGGAGGAGGCUGUCCUGCCAUCUGCCCCUGAGUAGGAUGGCUCAUUUACGUAGAGGGUCUCGGCUCGUUCCUUAACCCCAUGUCUAAUCUCAUUUUCAUCAGUGGCAAGUCAGCACUGGGGACCUAUAUGAGGGGCAUUGACAGACCCUCAGUAGAAAAGCAGCAGUGACUUGAGGAAGGGGCAGGACAAGCCUCCAGCCAGCUCUUCAGUUGGUCCUCGGUCUCACUAAGAAGACAGAGCAGUUGCUUACCAUGAAGCCUGUCUUAUAUUAAGGGGAAUGUUAUCGACCUUGUCCUUGCUGCCAGCCAUGUGGCCGCUCUUCCCUGCUCUUUGCCUUCCAGACUCAUCUGGACCAGAACCAAACAUCAUGGAGGGCAUUAUUUAGCCCUUUUUAGGUUGCCUAGGGAGCUAAGGGAAGACAUUUCUGAAAGGAGCUGGGGUGUGGACCCUAGGACUCUUCCAAGUGAACACAGGACUAGGCCUCUCACUUCACUCCAAAGACAUAGCUGCUAGACAUGCAAGGCCAGAAAGCAGGGGUGGGGAACGUCCGGCAUGCAGGCCAUUUAAGGCCCAUGGAAUCAUUUGGUCUGGAUUUGGCAAGGCAUUAGGGGUGAGUUAAUUAAAUGUUUAACCAAA